rnacentral:rRNA from 1 species
GAUGAACGCUGGCGGCGUGCCUAAUACAUGCAAGUCGAGCGAACAGACGAGGAGCUUGCUCCUCUGACGUUAGCGGCGGACGGGUGAGUAACACGUGGAUAACCUACCUAUAAGACUGGGAUAACUUCGGGAAACCGGAGCUAAUACCGGAUAAUAUAUUGAACCGCAUGGUUCAAUAGUGAAAGACGGUUUUGCUGUCACUUAUAGAUGGAUCCGCGCCGCAUUAGCUAGUUGGUAAGGGAACGGCUUACCAAGUCAACGAUGCGUAGCCGACCUGAGAGGGUGAGCGGCAACACUGGAACUGAGAAACGGUCCAGACUCCUACGGGAGGCAGCAGUAGGGAAUCUUCCGCAAUGGGCGAAAGCCUGACGGAGCAACGACGCGUGAGUGAUGAAGGUCUUCGGAUCGUAAAACUCUGUUAUUAGGGAAGAACAAAUGUGUAAGUACCUAUGCACGUCUUGACGGUACCUAAUCAGACAGCCACGGCUAACUACGUG